GAUGAACGCUAGCGGCAGGCCUAAUACAUGCAAGUCGAGGGGUAUAGGAGAGCUUGCUUUCCUAGAGACCGGCGAAUGGGUGCGUAACGCGUGAGCAACCUACCCUUGUCUGGGGGAUAGCCCGGAGAAAUCCGGAUUAAUACCGCAUAACGUCGGAGAGCGGCAUUGCUUUCCGACCAAACAUUUAUGGGACAUGGAUGGGCUCGCGUGACAUUAGUUAGUUGGUAAGGUAACGGCUUACCAAGACCGCGAUGUCUAGGGGAUCUGAGAGGAUGACCCCCCACACUGGUACUGAGACACGGACCAGACUCCUACGGGAGGCAGCAGUAAGGAAUAUUGGUCAAUGAGCGCAAGCUUGAACCAGCCACUGCCGCGUGCAGGACGACUGCCCUAUGGGUUGUAAACUGCUUUUAUACGGGAAUAAACCCACUACGUGUAGUGGGCUGAAUGUACUGUAAGAAUAAGGAUCGGCUAACUCCGUGCCAGCAGCCGCGGU
rnacentral:rRNA from 1 species